GAGAACAUCUCUAGGACAAAGUCUUUGUAAGAAGGUGUGUUCUACAGCUAGAGCUCCUCAUCUCCACUUGGCCUGCUGAGGAUGGACUUCAGUGUACAUAUGUCGAAGACAAUAAAAUUAUCAUUAUCCAGGCAAUGCCUCCUAUCCAGGUGGAGGCACUGUAGGUUUGAUUCAGGACCAUCCAGAGCAUUGCCCUUGGCUGCAGCUGCACAGGCUCGAGAUGUGUUCAAAGAUGACUGCUGUGCCUACACUGCUAGCCCCACCAAAAUCAUGUUUGGCAGAGAUGGAGAGAUGCUGCUGACAUACCUCGUGGUCUUUGGCUCUUCUUAGCUCCCAGGAGACAUUUGGCACCUUAGGGCUUUAACAUCUCAGACAUUACUCGCGACUCCACAACUGCUGUCUGCUCCAGGCAGGGACAAGUGCAGAGGCAAGAGAAAAGUGUAAUAGCAUCAGUUCAAAGAGAUGCAAAAAGAUAGGAAAUGAUACAAGCAGAAAAGCGCUCAACUUGCUGGACUCAUGCCUGAUUAUCACUCAACGUGAGUAGUUGAUACUGUUCAAGCAGCGCCAUAUUUCUAUGUCUUGUUAGUUAAUAAGUAGCACAAAGAACGCAGCCAAAGCACAAGCUGCUAAACAUGUUUAUUUCCCCCGCUUCCCUCUUGCUCCCUUGCUUAUCAUAUCAUAUUUGCAUCAAACCUGCUGGGAAAUAUUGCAGUCAAAUGAAGGAGGCUCUGUGAGGUGUAUGGGAGGGCAGACUAUGCAGGAUGCAGUCAGCCCUCUUCCAAGCUGCUCCUACCACCUCUUUUCUUUCCAUGCCUGCACAGUCAGUGGGACAACAUCUGCUCAAUUCUUUCCUAUGCUUUUCUCUGUAAAUUACUCACACAGCAUAUGAUCAAAAACAAUUUUGCAAAACUACUGAGGACCUGAUCUCAUUUUGCUGUGUUUAACAUGCUGCCUAGGGAAAGCAUGCAUUGCAUAUACAGUAAGUUUGUCAGGAUGUACAGCUCUGAGGACUGAAGGAGUGGCU